rnacentral:rRNA from 1 species
GAUCACUGGCUCCACAAAUAGAACUCGCUCCCUGGGUGGCGAGAGGCGGACGGGUGACUUAAUACAUCGGAAUCUAUUUUUCGUGGGGGAUAACGUAGGGAAACUUACCCUAAUACCGCAUACGACCUACGGGUGAAAGCAGGGGACCUUCGGGCCUUGCGCGAUUGAAUGACCCGAUGUCGGAUUACCUAGUUGGCGGGGUAAAGGCCCACCAAGGCGACGAUCCGUAGCUGGUCUGAGAGGAUGAUCAGCCACACUGGAACUGAGACACGGUCCAGACUCCUACGGGAGGCAGCAGUGGGGAAUAUUGGACAAUGGGCGCAAGCCUGAUCCAGCCAUACCGCGUGGGUGAAGAAGGCCUUCGGGUUGUAAAGCCCUUUUGUUGGGAAAGAAAUCCAGCUGGCUAAUACCCGGUUGGGAUGACGGUACCCAAAGAAUAAGCACCGGCUAACUUCGUGCCAGCAGCCGCGGUAAUACGAAGGGUGCAAGCGUUACUCGGAAUUACUGGGCGUAAAGCGUGCGUAGGUGGUCGUUUAAGUCCGUUGUGAAAGCCCUGGGCUCAACCUGGGAACUGCAGUGGAUACUGGGCGACUAGAGUGUGGUAGAGGGUAGCGGACUUCCUGGUGUAGCAGUGAAAUGCGUAAACAUCAGGAAGAACAUCCAUGGCGAAAGGCACCUACCUGGACCAACACUGACACU